GUGUCAGCCGCCGCGGUAAUACGAAGGGUGCAAGCGUUACUCGGAAUUACUGGGCGUAAAGCGUGCGUAGGUGGUUUGUUAAGUCUGAUGUGAAAGCCCUGGGCUCAACCUGGGAAUGGCAUUGGAAACUGGCUUACUAGAGUGCGGUAGAGGGUAGCGGAAUUCCCGGUGUAGCAGUGAAAUGCGUAGAUAUCGGGAGGAACAUCCGUGGCGAAGGCGGCUACCUGGACCAGCACUGACACUGAGGCACGAAAGCGUGGGGAGCAAACAGGAUUAGAAACCCGCGUAGUCC
rnacentral:rRNA from 1 species